rnacentral:rRNA from 1 species
UACGAAGGGGGGCUAGCGUUGUUCGGAAUUACUGGGCGUAAAGCGCGCGCAGGCGGCUAUCCAAGUCAGUGGUGAAAGCCCGGAGCUCAACUCCGGAACUGCCAUUGAAACUGUUUAGCUUGAGGACGAGAGAGGUGAGUGGAAUUCCCAGUGUAGAGGUGAAAUUCGUAGAUAUUGGGAAGAACACCGGUGGCGAAGGCGGCUCACUGGCUCGUAUCUGACGCUCAGGCGCGACAGCGUGGGGAUCGAAACAGG